rnacentral:rRNA from 1 species
ACGAACGCUGGCGGCGUGCUUCACCCCUGCCAGUCGAACGGAAAGGCCCUGCUUUUGUGGGGUGCUCGAGUGGCGAACGGGUGAGUAACACGUGAGUAACCUGCCCUUGACUUUGGAUAACUUCAGGAAACUGGGGCUAAUACCGGAUAGGAGCUCCUGCUGCAUGGUGGGGGUUGGAAAGUUUCGGCGGUUGGGGAUGGACUCGCGGCUUAUCAGCUUGUUGGUGGGGUAGUGGCUUACCAAGGCUUUGACGGGUAGCCGGCCUGAGAGGGUGACCGGCCACAUUGGGACUGAGAUACGGCCCAGACUCCUACGGGAGGCAGCAGUGGGGAAUAUUGCACAAUGGGCGGAAGCCUGAUGCAGCAACGCCGCGUGCGGGAUGACGGCCUUCGGGUUGUAAACCGCUUUCGCCUGUGACGAAGCGUGAGUGACGGUAAUGGGUAAAGAAGCACCGGCUAACUACGUG